UGGGCUGGGUGGGUUAAGGAAAUCUCCAAACCAGCGGGGCUGGAGUGAAAUUAGAGAGCAGGAGCAGGGAAAUUACACAGGCAUCAGACAUGCAGAGUCCUGUGGGCUGUGACAAAAAGUUGGGGUUUUAAUUAAAUGUAUCCAGAAGCUUUUGGAGGUUUCUGAGCAGGAGGAAGGCAGGACUUGACCUGUUUUACAACAUCACCUGUAGUUAUUUUAUGGAGUAGAGCAAUUGGAAGACUGUUGCAGGGGGAACAUGGUGAUGACUUGGACAAGGACCGUAGUGAUGGAGGUUGCAUAAAUUUUCUAUUGCUGCCACCAUAAGUCACCACAGACUUAAUGCCUUAAACCAGCACCAAAUAGUAUCUUACAGAUCUGCAGGCCAGAGUCCCAGGUGGGCCCAGGAAGCCAAAAUCAGGGUGCCAGUAUGACACACUCCUUCCUGGAGGCCCCAGUGAGAACCUGUUUUCCUGUUCAUGUGAGCUAUUGUCAGAGUUUAGUUCCUUGUAGACCAAGGUUCUUGUUUUCAUUUUCAUAAAAUAAGGCUUUCUCCCUCUUCCAAAGGCAGUCACAUUCUGGCUCAUUGCCCCUUUUCUUCAUCUUCAAAGCCAACAACAGCAGUCCAGCCCUUCUCACACAGUACCUUUGUCUGCCGUCCUCUUCUACAUCUGGGCUUAUGUCAUUAGAGUGACCCACUCAAAUCAUCUCCCAGCACAAGAUGUAGCUGAUAGCUGAAGGAUGCCAAGAAGACAAUGGAUGAAAAGUGGGAAGAAGGGAACCAAGGUGGUACCACUUUCUGACGUGAGGAGCAGCGAGUUUGGGAAGAAAUCUAGUAUUAGUAAUGGAGUUCGGGAUCCCACUGGCAGAUUCAAUGGCUAGAUCCCGAGAAUCAAACUAAGAGAAAGAUUAACAGGAGGAAAAGGUAGCUGUAAUUCCAAGAGCAUGCAGGAGGUUGCCCCAAGAAAAAAGAGGAGACCUAAGUCACAUUCCAGCUUAGGUUAAACCCAGGAAAAGCAGUCUUGACACAGAUCCGAGGGAGCCAGCCCUCCUAGGGCCCUGGGACGAGGUGAAACUCUCUUCAGCACUGGCAAAUGUUCUUGAGACCAUUUUAGUUUUCAACAUUUCUUUAAGUCUUUAUGAUAAGCACUAUGUUUUUCUCUGUGAGUGAGUGAAGCCACAGGGACUGGGCACCCAGGCCCUUGAACGGCAGUGGACAGAGCCUUCCCCGAUGCCUGGCAGCCUUGACUGGGGAACUUCAGCCCAGCAGUCCCUUCUCUGGCAAGUGGUUUCACUGUCCUCACGGCAGCCAGGCUGUUUUGGACAGUUUACGGUCACUCUGAAAACACUCCAGUUACAAGGACCACUGCAAAUGAAGCCCUGGCUCCUGAGCCCGAGACCUUGCUCCAGUGACAACCAGUCCAGACAACCUGCACUGGCCCUGCAAGCCAAGCCUGACUGAAGUGUGGACAACCCUGCAGCUGUUCUCCCUCAGCAUGGGAGGGGGAGCACUCCUCAGUAACUCAGCAAGAGGCCAGUGAUUGGUGGAGCUGAAAGCUGUGCUGUGAUUGGUGCAAAUACAAUCCUUCAUUUGCAUGCUACCCAGAGGCCAUCCUGACUGUUCAGCUUACUUUUCUGGUUUGCUAUCCCCUCUGCCCUGUAUUGAAAUACUAAGUCCAAUAAAAGGUUUCUCCCAAAAGUCUUUUCUUGCCCACCUGUGAUCUUUACCAAAGAUAGAAUGGGCUGAGCUGGUUACAUGAGCAGGAAACAG